rnacentral:rRNA from 1 species
GCAUCGAUGAAGAACGCAGCUAAUUGCGGGACAACUUGUGAACUGCAGGACACAUGAACAUCGACAUUUCGAACGCACAUUGCGGUCUUAGGAUACUGUUCCUGGACCGCUCCUGGCUGAGGGUCG